rnacentral:piRNA from 1 species
UGACAAAAUGUGACAAGAUACAAGAGGGA